rnacentral:rRNA from 1 species
UACGAGGGGGGCGAGCGUUGUUCGGAAUUAUUGGGCGUAAAGGGUGCGUAGGCGGUUUUGUAAGUCUUAUGUGAAAUCUAUGGGCUCAACUCAUAGACUGCAUGAGAAACUGCAGGGCUUGAGUAUGGGAGAGGUGAGUGGAAUUCCUGGUGUAGCGGUGAAAUGCGCAGAUAUCAGGAGGAACACCAAUGGCGAAGGCAGCACUCUGGGACGUGACUGACGCUGAGACGCGAAAGCGUGGGGAGCGAACAGG